AUCAUUUUCCAAACCAAAUAAAUUUUAUUAGUUGUUGAGGGAGAACAUGCUAUCACAAGUGAAGCCGAGAGGCAGGGAGUGCAGGCCUACGUGUGGAGCCUGCCCUCGCGUCCUCUGAGCCCCGCAGGCGGAGGGCAGGCAGCUCCUCGCUGAGUGCCUCGCUGCCUUGCCAGCCAGCUCUGCAACAGUGCUUUCGGGUUUCACAGUGGAUGCCAAGGGACGCGGUCCUCUAGCUUCCCUUGAACUCCACUCUCGUUGAGAGAGUCGUCAGGACAUAAAGGCUGCUAAGGCUGUAUUCUGUGGUGGAAUGCAUCCCCAGAGAAAUCAGAAAUGGAGCCGUCACGGGGAAAGGCAAGAACAUUCGACUUAAGAGUAAAUAUUCUGCACGGUUUCUGUGGAGUGAGAGAAAUUUCUGAGGACAGCUGAUGGGUGACUGCAAGCAAUGUACAUUCAGUAGAAUUCGUACUUCAAAUUUUGAUCUUGCAUGCUGAGGAGUGGCAGCCAACGUGGCUUCCAGUCUGCCACUUGAUCACCAGGUUGAAUCAUCAAAACUCUACUGCCCAUGUGUUGCCAAGGCCAGCGCGGCGGCUCACUUGGCUAAUCCUCAACCUGCGGCACCGGCACCCUGGGUUCUAGUCCUGGUUGGGGCACCGGAUUCUGUCCCGGUUGCUCCUCUUCCAGUCCAGCUCUCUGCUGUGGCCUGGGAAGGCAGUGGAGGAUGGCCCAAGUGCUUCGGCCCUGCACCUGCAUGGGAGACCAGGAGGAAGCACCUGGCUCCUGGCUUUGGAUCAACGCAGCGUGCCAGCCGUAGCGGCCAUUUAGGGGGUGAACCAACGGAAGGAAGACCUUUCUCUCUAACUCUGCCUGUCCAAAAAAAAACGUCUUUCCAUAACAUUUACUGGAUUCAGUGUAAACUCUAACAUUUGUAAAAUGUCUGUAUUUCUAAAAGUGUUCUGAAACAACAUUUACCUAAAUCUUUAAGCAGUUGUUGAUGGUAUUAUUCUCAUUUUACCAAUAAGAAAGUAGUUCAAAUUGCCCACAUGGCUGUCUGUGAGCAACCUGCUUGCAAGUAGGCAAAACAACCUCUCCGAAGA